ensembl:lncRNA
AGAUGGAAGCUGAAGCCUGGAGAGAGGCUUCAGGAGGAUCAGAGAUCACCUUCAGCACAGAGAGCUGUGCUACUGGGCUUCCAGGAGAUCGUCAUGAGGAGACUCUGCACUGCAAAAUCUUAAAUGAGAUAAAAGAGUUUCGACGUUGACAUUGAGGAGGACAACUAAGGUGUACGACGUGCUCUGCCUUUAAAAUCUUCAGCAGCGUUGAACCAUGAGAACCUGAGAGAGCGUGCCAAGCUCCAAAAAGUGACAGCACAGAGGAGGUCCAGCGAUGGACUUGUGGUUCUGUGAACAGCACAAAUGCCAGAGUCUGAAGUCUGGAGAUUGGAUGAUGAUAAGGCCAUGGAGAGGAAGUGCUGGUCCAGUCCACGGUGGGAAGGUCCAUAUCGGAUGCUGCUGACGACGACCACAGCGGUGAAGUUGCUGGAAGGAACACUUGGAUACAUCAAGCGCACUGCAAGAAGGUGACACACAUCCAGGCCAGCUCGGGGUAAGUGGCAGGAAGACCGGGUACAAAGGGGGGGGAAAGCCUCCAGGGCCCCUCGUCUCAAUCCGGUGAAGAAACCAACUGAGCCACAGGUACUCAUCAGAAUGGCUGGGAAUGUGCUGUGCGCCUUCUUGUGCCUGUGGACCCAGAGUGGGAUGACAGGAGCGCACUGGGACAGAGCAAACCACACCCAGUACCCGCAUGGGGUUUUCAACAACUACUGGUGGCAGUUUGUGAACACAACCGCUCACAUAAAGAACAAGACCAAUGGUUAUGCUUGUGAUGCCACUGUCUACACAUUCUUCUGGACUGUGGCCAUAUAGCAUCACUGAGAGUGAGACAGUUUGUUGGUUGCCGUAGCAACACAUCCAGGAGUAAACGUACUUGGAACACUGCCAACUUUUCAACUUCUGAACCUGAUUGGACGGUUGAUUCACCAGUAGCUGGGAAGGUGAACUGCUCUGGUACGACAGACCUGAUAGUCUGACUCCAAGUGUCUGACUUGCUGCAGGAUAUUGAACAGCUAAAUAAACUGGAAGCAGGCCAGUUGCCUAUGUGUAUGAAGGGCAAUGGAUUAGUCCAAGUUGGAGAUUUACCAUGAAAUCUGAGCAACGUCACCUAUUCUUUGUGUCCUCUGCAAGAAGGAUGCAAACAGAGAAGCUUUUUGUCUACAUUUGCAUCAUGAACACUUCUCUAAGCUGGUUGAGGCUUUGAGCCAAGAAGAUCAAAACAGCUUGAUCCAAUUUCCUUUACAAAGCUUUUCCUGUGGUGACAACAGGACAGGAGAAGUUGUAAAUGCGGAUAAUUUACCAGUUGACUCUAACCCCCACAGGAUGCCUAUAGUGAGAAGAUCUGGGGGGGUUGAUAGGAGUCAUAAAGAAGGGUGUUGACCAGGCUACAGCUUUGAAGUUAGCUGAGAGCCACAUGGACAAACAAUAAAGUCAACUGAUGUGUUUGAAUGUCUAUGUCUGUAUACAGUUGGAUUGUAGUGACAUAUGAUUUUUGAGAAUGUUGAUUCUUCUUGUUUGACUGUUACAUUCAGUUGUUUACUUGCAGGAAUACAUAAUGAAUCGCACGAUAGGAGUAGAUGCACCACAAGGCUGGAGAGCUUGGUGAAUGUCUGGUCCUUGGUGGCAUCUUCUUUUGAAAAUAUUAAUUCCUGUUUUUGGACUGUUGACACUGAUUUGCUUACGUGUAGGAUGUAGUUUACUGUGUAUGAGAUCAAUGAGAAGCAGGUUAACUGCUUACAUGUAUUAACUGUGAACUUUUGCAUCGAUAGAAGGUGAAUGAAGAGGAGUUGUGUAUGAAUGAAAUCUACACUGUCACUGUCCAAACAAAGGGUGCAUAAGUUGAAAUUUAAGUAUAUACAAUGACAAAAAGGGGGGAAAUGUUAGGUCUAAUUGUUGAAUGUUGCCAUUGUGUUUCUUAAAUUUGUACAGUCUUAGUUCAAGCAGUAUUAUCAAAGCCAUUCCUUUGAUCCUGAGCACCUCUAACCACUCUGUGUUAGAGGUUACAUAUAAAAGUUCACAUAUACAUACAAUGCCUUAGAACCAUGUGGGCGUUGCUUUGCUGUGUGAACUGUCUCUCAAUAAAAGGCAGCGAGAGGAGGCCGGAUUUGGGGUCAUUUUCGUGCUGGACACAGAUGAGGCCUCCCUUGCGCAAGUAAUCGAUCGAUCGCUGACUGUCUUGUUUUCAUUCAUGAUGAAUAAGUCUCUAGAACUAGCGGGGUUUGUGGGAACAGACCCAACAUGGUCCAACAGGGAUGACAGCUUAGCCACCAUUCUCCUGUCACUCACCACCUCCACUGGGUCCAGAGGGCAUCCUAGAACAGAGCUGGCCCUCCAAAUCAGCCCGUUCAGUCUCUUUCUGCCCCCAGCAGAGAUGCAUCCGCCCCAGCAGACCACCCCAUAAAAGAUGGCUGAGGUCACCACAGAGUCAUAAAAGGUCUUCAGGAGUGGGCCCUUCACUCCAAAAGACCUGAGCGUCCGCUGCAGGUACAGCCUGCUCUGCCCUUUUCUGUAGAGAGCACCUGAAUUGCGAGUCCAGUCCAGUUUAUUGUUCAGAUGAAGACCAAGGUACCUGUAGCUAUCCUGUAGCUAUUACACUCACAUGCAGGGGAUUUGUGCUCUCAGCAGGAAAUCUUGUGCAGCUGUGUCUGUGUGUGGUGGGGUGAGAGUAUGACGCACAAAAGCAGACAAGGAAUUCAACUUCCUCUUGGUGGUGACAGAGCAACAUAAACAGGGACUGAACAGUCGGUACUGCACUCAUAAAGACUGAAUGAACCAGCAUUGCAGCCAUGGGUCAUUGUUAGCAUCAUCGGGAAGGUUGAAGCCGCCCACUGCACCUGUAUGGCCAGAGUCGCGGACACCUGCAGCCAUGUCGCUGCUCUUCUGUUUAAAGUAGAAGCAACAGUGUUGAUCCGUGGCACAAGGACUGUUACAGAUGAACCUGCAUACUGGGUUUUGCCGGGUAAUAAGACCAAGAUACAGCCAGAGGUUGGCCAUAAGAUAGACUUCUCCUCUUUAACUGCCCCAAAAAGCCUCUCGAUCAAAACAUAAACAGCAUGAAUAAUAUAUUUAAAGCUAUGUUGGACAGAAGAAAAGUAUAUAUUUCUUAGACAACGCGAAAUCUGCACAAAGAUAACAUUUUCAUGUCAUAAUAUUCUUUC